rnacentral:rRNA from 1 species
UUGUGCUUCUGUGGCGGCAUCGGCAUCUCCUACCCCUUCGGGAUUGAGGCCGGCUGCUACCGCGACGGCAUCAACCUCACCUGCGACCACUCAUACCGGCCGCCCAAGCUGUUCCUGGGCGACGACACCGUGGAGGUGCUCGAGAUCUCCAUUCCUGGCGGCACGGUGCGCGUCAACAGCAGUAGCAUUGCGCUGUCACCAGCAGCAGGGGCACCAGGCAAGGCCAACAGCACAGCGAAGUACCACACAUGGAGUGGGCUCAGAAGGGGCGGCCCGUUCUUCGUCUCGCCGGAGAAGAACAAGUUCCUGGUGAUAGAUGUCCUCCUCCUCGCGGAGGACAACAGCACCGUCAACGCCUGUGCCACUUACUGCCCACCGGCCCCAGGAAAGGGCCAGCCUUUUCAGUUCCCCUUGAGCAAGGAUUGCUCCGGCAUUGGCUGCUGCAGUGCUGCCAUCCCCAAAGGCUACACCUCUUACAGCAUCCAGGUCCAGCCCCCUGGCAAUGUUUCUGAAUUCGAUGCAGACUCUUCAGUCUACAUAGCCGAGGAAGGCUCCUAUAAUGUCACGCGCCUGAUAUUCGAAACUGUAAACACUCUUCCAGUCUUGCUGGACUGGGUGAUCAGCAACUCAACAUGUGGCAAGGAGCUUCUUGGCACGCCUACAUCUGGGUGCCGUAGCAGCAGCAGCUCCUGUCAGAACUAUACGAGCUUUGCUUACAAAGGGUACCGCUGUCGCUGCUCUGCUGGCUAUCAAGGCAACCCUUAUGUUGUGGAUGGAUGCCAAGACAUUGAUGAGUGUGCGCACUGGGAACUCCACUCAUGCUACGGAACCUGCAUAAAUAUGCCUGGAGCGUUUCGCUGCCAAUGCCCUGAUGAGACCUGCGGGAAUCCCUUCAUGAAAGGGGGGUGCAUCAAGAACAAGAAAUCCUCUCAAGGUUUAAGCAUAGGCCUAGUAGCCAGUGGUGGGUCAAUUCUUGUGCUUCUGGCUUUUGGUGCUCCCUUUGUGACACGUAAGAUCAAGCAACAGAAGGCCAAAAAAAGAAAAGACAAGUUUUUCAAGCAAAAUCAUGGGUUGCUAUUUCAGCAGUUAGUAUCACAAAGAGCUGAUAUGGGUGAACGAAUGAUCAUCACCCUAGCAGAGCUAGAGAAGGCCACAAACAAUUUUGACAAAACUCGUGAGGUUGGCGGUGGAGGACAUGGCAUUGUGUAUAAAGGCAUUCUGGAUCUACAAGUUGUAGCCAUCAAGAAAUCAAAGAUUAUCGUACAGAGAGAAAUCGAUGACUUUAUUAAUGAGGUUGCAAUUCUUUCCCAAAUCAACCAUAGGAAUGUCGUAAAGCUUAUUGGAUGUUGUCUCGAGGCAGAAGUCCCAUUGUUGGUUUAUGAGUUCAUUUCAAAUGGAACUCUUGAGCAUCAUCUGCACGUAGAAGGAUCGGUAUCACUCUCAUGGAACGACCGGUUGAGGAUUGCACUUGAGAUCUCUACAGCUCUGGCCUAUCUACAUUCAGCUGCUUCAAUACCAGUGUAUCACAGAGAUAUUAAGUCCGCCAACAUACUUCUUGACGAAAGCUUAACAGCCAAGGUAUCAGACUUUGGGGCUUCAAAGUUUAUUCCUAUUGAUCAAACGGGGGUGACUACUGCGGUUCAAGGAACCAUUGGCUACUUGGAUCCCAUGUACUAUUACACUGGCCGUCUAACAGACAAGAGCGAUGUCUUCAGCUUUGGCGUGCUUCUCGUAGAACUGCUUACCAGGAAGAGGCCACUCGCCUAUGAUUCUGUGGAUGGCGAUAGUCUUGUUCUGCAUUUUGCCUCGCUGGUUACGGGAAGCGUGCUGGCUGACUUGCUGGAUCCUCAGGUCAUGGAAGAGGAAGACGGAGAGGUCCAGGAGGUAGCUGCGCUGGCAGCAAAGUGCGUGAGGUUGAACGGAGAAGACCGGCCGGCGAUGAGAGAAGUCGAGAUGACGCUCGAAAACCUGCGGAUCAAGAGGAAGCAAGCUGCGCGUGAUGCAAAAUCUAGGAGGUAUGAUGAUGAUGGCCAAUUCUCUAUCGACGACACGGCAACUGAAGGGGACACCGAGGAGCCAAGUGGGGAGUACACCGUGGAAGAGCGAAUCUUGUUGUCGGAGAGGUAUCCUCGAUGA